rnacentral:misc_RNA from 1 species
GAUGAAGAACGCAGUGAAAUGCGAUAAGUAAUGUGAAUUGCAGAAUUCAGUGAAUCAUCGAAUCUUUGAACGCACCUUGCACCCUUUGGCAUUCCGAAGGGUAUGCUCGUUUGAGUGUCAUUGUACUCUCACACUCUCCGAUCCUAUGGAUUCGGGGAGCGGUGGACUUGGGUGUUGCUGCCUUUCCUUGUGGCUCUCCUCAAAUGUGUCAGUGCACCUCUUGGUUGGACAUAGUACGGCGUGAUAAGUGUCUUCGCCGGCACCUCGCAAGAGGGUGGCCGAUCGGGAGCUCUGUGCUUUCAAACCGUCUUCGGACAAUUUCUGACAACUUGACCUCAAAUCGAGUAGGACUACCCGCUGAACUUAAGCAUAUCAAUAAGCGGAGGA